AGUAGGAUAACAGGGUCGAAUGGUGGUUCCAUUCCAACUUUUCUGAGGAAUAUCCAUACUGCUUUCCAGAGUGGUUGCACCAAUUUAUAGUCCCACCAGCAAU
rnacentral:pre_miRNA from 1 species